CUCCAGACUCCUACGGGAGGCAGCAGUGGGGAAUAUUGCACAAUGGGGGAAACCCUGAUGCAGCAACGCCGCGUGAGUGAAGAAGUAUUUCGGUAUGUAAAGCUCUAUCAGCAGGGAAGAAAAUGACGGUACCUGAGUAAGAAGCCCCGGCUAACUACGUGCCAGCAGCCGCGGUAAUACGUAGGGGGCGAGCGUUAUCCGGAUUCACUGGGUGUAAAGGGGGCGCAGACGGCGAUGCAAGCCAGGAGUGAAAGCCCGGGGCCCAACCCCGGGACUGCUCUUGGAACUGCGUGGCUGGAGUGCAGGAGGGGCAGGCGGAAUUCCUGGUGUAGCGGUGAAAUGCGUAGAUAUCAGGAGGAACACCGGUGGCGAAGGCGGCCUGCUGGACUGCAACUGACGUUGAGGCCCGAAAGCGUGGGGAGCAAACAGGAUUAGAUACCCGGUA
rnacentral:rRNA from 1 species